rnacentral:rRNA from 1 species
GUGAGUAAUAUAUCGGAACGUGCCCAGUAGUGGGGGAUAACUGCUCGAAAGAGCAGCUAAUACCGCAUACGACCUGAGGGUGAAAGGGGGGGAUCGCAAGACCUCUCGCUAUUGGAGCGGCCGAUAUCAGAUUAGCUAGUUGGUGGGGUAAAGGCCUACCAAGGCAACGAUCUGUAGUUGGUCUGAGAGGACGACCAGCCACACUGGGACUGAGACACGGCCCAGACUCCUACGGGAGGCAGCAGUGGGGAAUUUUGGACAAUGGGCGCAAGCCUGAUCCAGCCAUGCCGCGUGAGUGAAGAAGGCCUUCGGGUUGUAAAGCUCUUUUGUCCGGGAGCAAAACCUGCCCACUAAUACUGGGCCGGGAUGAGAGUACCGGAAGAAUAAGCACCGGCUA